AUUGAACGCUGGCGGCAUGCCUUACACAUGCAAGUCGAACGGUAACAGGUCUUCGGAUGCUGACGAGUGGCGAACGGGUGCGUAAUACAUCGGAACGUGCCCGAUCGUGGGGGAUAACGAGGCGAAAGCUUUGCUAAUACCGCAUACGAUCUACGGAUGAAAGCGUGGGAUCUUCGGACCUCGCGCGGACGGAUCGGCCGAUGGCAGAUUAGGUAGUUGGUGGGAUAAAAGCUUACCAAGCCGACGAUCUGUAGCUGGUCUGAGAGGAUGAUCAGCCACACUGGGACUGAGACACGGCCCAGACUCCUACGGGAGGCAGCAGUGGGGAAUUUUGGACAAUGGGCGAAAGCCUGAUCCAGCCAUGCCGCGUGCAGGAUGAAGGCCUUUGGGUUGUAAACUGCUUUUGUACGGAACGAAAAGCCUCUUUCUAAUAAAGAGGGGUCAUGACGGUACCGUAAGAAUAAGCACCGGCUAACUACGUG
rnacentral:rRNA from 1 species